GUACCUCACCCAUGAGCUGCUGCUGAGCUGUGUAUUCCGGCUGGAGUUCCUCCCGGAAAGAACAUCAGGGGGUCCAGAGGCAGCCGACUUCUCUGACCAGCUGUCGUUAGGAAGCAGCAGGGUCCCUCGGUGUGGGCAAGGGACUCUGCUGGCUCAGGCCUGCCAGGACCUCCCCAGCAUCCGCAACUGCUACCUGACUCAUUGCUCGCCAGCCCGAGCCAGUCUGCUGGCCUCCCAGGCUCUGCACCGAGGGGAGCUACAGCGAGUCCCAACCCUGCUACUGCCCAUGCCUAUGGAGCCGCUGCUGCCCACCGACUGGCCCUUCCUGCCACUGAUUCGCCUCUACCACCGGGCUUCAGACACCCCCUCGGGACUCUCUCCCACAGACACCAUGGGCACAGCCAUGCGGGUCCUGCAGUGGGUGCUAGUUUUGGAGAGCUGGCGACCCCAGGCUCUCUGGGCUGUGCCCCCUGCUGCCCGCCUGGCACGGCUCAUGUGUGUGUUCCUGGUGGACAGUGAGCUGUUCCGGGAGUCCCCAGUACAGCAUCUGGUGGCAGCCCUCCUCGCCCAGCUCUGUCAGCCUCAAGUCUUGCCAAACCUCAACCUGGACUGCCCACUCCCUGGCCUGACGUCUUUCCCUGACCUCUAUGCCAACUUCCUGGAUCAUUUUGAGGCUGUCUCUUUUGGGGACCACCUCUUUGGGGCCCUGGUCCUCCUGCCCCUGCAGCGUCGGUUCAGUGUCACCUUGCGCCUUGCCCUCUUUGGGGAACACGUGGGAGCCUUGCGAGCUCUGAGCCUGCCUCUGACCCAGUUGCCUGUGUCCCUGGAGUGUUACACAGUGCCUCCUGAAGACAACCUGGCCCUCCUUCAGCUCUACUUCCGGACCCUGGUUACUGGUGCGCUCCGCCCACGUUGGUGCCCCGUGCUCUAUGCUGUGGCUGUGGCUCAUGUCAAUAGCUUCAUCUUCUCUCAGGACCCACAGAGCUCAGUAAGUUACAUCUCCAUCUUCAGAGGAAGGAAGGGAGCUAGCAAUUGAGCUGCCUCUGGGCCAGCUGGGGAAGAGGUAAGUGUCAAGCAAAGCCAGUGGUGGGUACCAGCCCUCGGCUCAGUGCCACCUCUCCCUGUUCUGCUUCUAGGAUGAGGUCAAAGCUGCCCGCAGGAGUAUGCUGCAGAAAACAUGGCUGCUGGCAGAUGAGGGUCUCCGGCAGCACCUCCUGCACUAUAAGCUUCCCAAUUCCACGCUCCCAGAGGGCUUUGAGCUCUAUUCUCAGUUGCCCCCUCUGCGUCAGCACUACCUCCAGAGACUGACUUCAACAGUGCUCCAAAAUGGGGUAUCAGAGACCUAGGAUAGUUGAUAUAGAUGGAAAGAUGGGUACAUUGUCCUGUAUCCAGCCUUUCAACAGAUGCCUGGCCAGACGAAGAACAUUGUGUCCUAAUGGUAGGCAGGAGACCAAGGAGCAGAAGGCUUGCCUUCCUGGGAGCAGGUUGUUUGAGCUGUUUUAGAGCAGUGAGCCCUACCAUUACAUCCUGAUAUCUGGGGCUUCUGAAGGUCUGUGCUGGGAGUGAAGAGUGGCUUAGCUAUUUACCCGCUCUUUGGGGACAGGGCAAACUAAAUGCAUCCCUUCUUACCUAACUCCCAACCCCUGCCCCGGCCUGAGGCAUAUGAAUGCUAUAGUUGUGCAUUAAAAUAAAUGUUUUUUAUCUCCUGGAAA
rnacentral:sRNA from 1 species